rnacentral:rRNA from 1 species
GACGAACGCUGGCGGCGUGCCUAAUACAUGCAAGUCGAGCGAAUCAAUAGGAGCUUGCUCCUGUUGGUUAGCGGCGGACAGGUGAGUAACACGUGGGCAACCUGCCUGUAAGACUGGGAUAACACCGGGAAACCGGUGCUAAUACCGGAUAAUCCUUUUCCUCUCAUGAGGAAAAGCUGAAAGACGGUUUCGGCUGUCACUUACAUAUGGGCCCGCGGCGCAUUAGCUAGUUGGUGAGGUAACGGCUCACCAAGGCGACGAUGCGUAGCCGACCUGAGAGGGUGAUCGGCCACACUGGGACUGAGACACGGCCCAGACUCCUACGGGAGGCAGCAGUAGGGAAUCUUCCACAAUGGACGAAAGUCUGAUGGAGCAACGCCGCGUGAGCGAUGAAGGCCUUCGGGUCGUAAAGCUCUGUUGUUAGGGAAGAACAAGUACCGGAGUAACUGCCGGUACCUUGACGGUACCUAACCAGAAAGCCACGGCUAACUACGUGCCAGCCGCCGCAGUAAUAC